AUUGAACGCUGGCGGCAAGCCUAAUACAUGCAAGUCGAACGAGUGGCGGACGGGAGUGUAAUGUCUGGGAAACAGCCUGAUGGAGGGGGAUAACUAGUGGAAACGGUAGCUAAUACCGCAUACCAGCGGAUGUGCCCAGAUGGGAUUAGCUAGUAGGUGGGGGAAAGGCUCACCUAGGAGACGUUCCCUAGCUGGUCUGAGAGGAUGACCAUCCACACUGGAACUGAGACACGGUCCAGACUCCGACGUGAGGCAGCAGUGGGGAAUAUUGCACAAUGGGCGCAAGCCUGAUGCAGCCAUGCCGCGUGUAUGAAGAAGGCCUUCGGGUUGUAAAGUACUUUCAGCGGGGAGGCGUUACCCGCAGAAGAAGCACCGGCUAACUCCGUGCCAGCAGCCGCGGUAAUUC
rnacentral:rRNA from 1 species